rnacentral:lncRNA from 1 species
AAUUAGUGGCAUGACAGUGGUACGUGCAGGGUGGAUGGUGACCACGCCCUCAUCACAACAUUUCAGAAGGUGACAAGUGUUCCUUGUAAUUGAUACCUCAGUAUCUCCAUAGAUUGCCCUGUCACGUUGAGCCAUUCUCCCUUUAACACGUUCAAACCAUGAGGAAUCUAAACCUGACACCUAUGUGAAUCAUACCAUCACCA